rnacentral:rRNA from 1 species
UACGUAGGGUGCGAGCGUUAAUCGGAAUUACUGGGCGUAAAGCGUGCGCAGGCGGUUCGUUAUGUCCGAUGUGAAAGCCCCGAGCUCAACUUGGGAAUGGCAUUGGAAACUGGCGGGCUGGAGUGUGGCAGAGGGGGGUGGAAUUCCACGUGUAGCAGUGGAAAUGCGUAGAGAUGUGGAGGAACACCGAUGGCGAAGGCAGCCCCCUGGGCCAACACUGACGCUCAGGCACGAAAGCGUGGGGAGCAAACAGG